rnacentral:rRNA from 1 species
CACGUAGGGUGCGAGCGUUGUCCGGAAUUAUUGGGCGUAAAGAGCUCGUAGGCGGUGUGUCGCGUCGGCCGUGAAAACCUGCAGCUUAACUGUGGGCCUGCAUUCGAUACGGGCAGGCUAGAGUUCGGUAGGGGAGACUGGAAUUCCUGGUGUAGCGGUGAAAUGCGCAGAUAUCAGGAGGAACACCGAUGGCGAAGGCAGGUCUCUGGGCUGACACUGACGCUCAUGCACGAAAGCGUGGGGAGCAAACAGG